ensembl:lncRNA
GUUAAUAAAGACAUUAAACAGAAGUGGCCCCAGUACUGGUCCAGCUCGUGACCAGAAACCAACUGGAUUUAACUCCAUUUGAACACAACACUUUGGGCCCGGCCAUCCAGCCAUCCAUCCAGAAGUUUGAUUUCUGCCCAUGCUAUAUUACACUGUACUUGGAAAAGGUUAUCUGGUUAAACAAAGAAGUGAGGAAAUAUGAUGAGAUCAGACUCUAGCUGUUAAUCUAUGAUCAGAACAUACUGGUAGCUGAGGAAGUAUAAAGUUUUGACAGAAGGAGCUCAACUGGACUGGACCAUGCCUAGAACUGUUCUCUCCAAAAGGUAGCAGUAUUUGGGUCACCAUCAUCUCAAGAUUUUGUAGACUGUCAGGGUAGACAGCACAGUGUCAAAAGUAUCUGUGUGAAGAAAGAAAUUGUGUAAUUUACCAAAGAAGCAAGAUGUUAAAAAUAAUCAAAUGAAAGGUUUUAGUUUUAAUUUCAGUGUAAAUGAAACUGCAAUCCUAGAUUAAUUAACUUCCCUGCUACAAUCUCGAGUUUGUCAGUUGACAUAAAGAGGGAGGAAGAGAUGAACUGCUGUGCUUGGGGAGAAAGGCAAGUGAGAUCCUACAUGUGUCAGGUGAAGUAUUUCCACUGGAGACAGGAAAGUCUGUGUGUGCUUGUACAAGUCACCAGCAAAACUUCUUAUGAAAUAAAGCAUGUUUGUGCUAGACCUCCAUGUGCGAUAUGGAUGCGUCCUGACUGGAAAUGUUUCAGAACUCUGGGGAUGGUGGUGAGAAAGAAGAGCCUAUCUCAAAGAAGAGAAACUAAAAUAUUUAGUUUGUCAGCCUAUCAAAACACAGUCUUGAAAGGAGAUGGGAUUGCUAUUUACUAUGGAAUAAGCAUCAGGCAGAGAUAAGAGCUAUUUAAAGAAAGAACAGUGUUAGGCCAAAAACAGAUAUAAUCUAGCCGAGCAUAAAUUUAGUCUGAAAAUAGGAAAAUAUCUAACCAUAAAAGCAAUGAGGUUCUGGAACAGCUUUCUAUGGGAAAUAGGACAAGAAAAAUUCCAAACAAAUUUUAAGAUGCAGUUAUUCAGUUCAAGUAAAGUCUGGCAGAAUUGUUUACUCGAGUAUCUCAUCCUAAUUUCCUUUGUUCCUAAAAUUUUAUAGAAUUUCUAAGUUCAUAGCAUAAUUAACACACUAAGUAUUAAUAUCCCAAGAUCACAUCCUAGCUCAGCCACAGGCAAAAUAUCUGUUUGGCAAUGUCAUUGUUUUAUUAUAGUCUAUUUGUUGACUUGAAGCUGGAUCCUUUUUCUGUACAUGUCUCCCAGGACCAGAGCAGCCUGCCUAACCUUAAGAAUUAAAGUUAGAAUCUAAAUGAAGAACCUAGAAGAACUAAGAGAGAUAUUUAGUUUAAAGGCAGAAUACCAUUCUUCACUCUGAGAAUCUAAGUUCCACAUUAGAAAUAUUCCCUCUACAGCAUAUCCCUUGAAAUGUGCUUUCCCUGUUUCAUUAGCACAUAAGAAUGAAUCCUCCCACAAAGAUACUGAUAAGUCCCAGAGCCUGAGAAGAAUUGGAGCUGUAUCUCAUUUUCUCUUCAUUCUCUCCAUUUUCCUUUCCUUCCUUAUCUUUCUUGGCUCCCUUCUAUGCAAGACAUGAAUAAGCAUUGAGUUGCCUGGAAACCUUGUUGUGGGGUGAUAGCAGGAGUGGGUGGCACCGCGUGUCCCCCUCACUCCAGCUCUGCAGCCCAGGGGAGGGCUUCAUGGGCUGCACCUCACCUACUCACUACCCUGUUCUAUUAUCAUCCAUCAUGAUUCCCAAGUAAUGUGUGCCCUUCUGUC